rnacentral:lncRNA from 1 species
UAUGAAUUUAGAUUGCAAUUAAAUUAGUUUUGCGGACGAAACUAAUUUUAAGUGGUGGAGAAUGUAACAUAUUGAAACCUCGAGAACGAUUAUCGAACUUUAGCCAAAUUAACUAAAGUAUACGAAAGAGAUGGAUGGACAAGUUGCAUUUAGUUGGAAAGGUUAAAAAUGAGUUUAAGAGAGGUUAGAAAGGUUUUAGCAUCGACCGGCGCGAAGUAGAGUCGAAUUGGAGCUAAAACUG